rnacentral:lncRNA from 1 species
AUUAUUUAUUUUCUGAAAAUUCAAGGGAGAUGGUCUGGAACCGGAAUAUUAUGCGGAUGACUGUGGUGAAGUCCGUUUAUUUAAUCGGGCUUUAUUUUAAGCUAGAUUGAAUUUUUAAUAUUAAUUAAUUUUCGAAAUUAAUUAUUUAUUUAUUUAUUUCCUGAAAAUUCAACUGGGAUGACCCGUGACCGGAAAAUUAUGCUGAUGACCGUGGUGAAGUCUGUUUAUUUAAUUGGACCUUAUUUUGAGC